rnacentral:tRNA from 1 species
GGGGCCAUAGCUCAGCUGGGAGAGCGCCUGCCUUGCAAAGCAGGGAGGUCAGCGGUUCGAUCCCGCUUGGCUCCACCA